UAGAGUAAUUCAACUAAGGUACAGCCUACUUGAAACAGGAUACAACCUUUACUAAUGGGUAAACUUUUACAUAUAUCAUUUCAAGUGGGCCUAAAAGCAGCCACCUUUCAAAUAGCGUCAAAGCUUUUCUAUAACUUGUAAAAAUACCAACUUUAUUAUAUAACCCUUUACCAAUAUUGAGUAAUUCCAUAUUAUUAUAGAAAUUUUUAUGUUAAAACUAGUAACAAGAAUAAGAUUUUCUCUAUAUAUAUAUAAGUGUACUUCAGGAAGGACAAACCACUGAUAAUUAACAUUUUUGAAACGAAAGAAGUAACUAAACAAGAAAACUCUUCUAUACAUCAUGUUAACCUAACACGAGCAUAUGUCAAGAAAGAUUUAAAGAAAAAGAAGGAACUCGGCAAAUUUUAACAUAACCUGUUUACCAAAAACAUCGCCUCUUGUAAAUUCUAAGAGGUGCAGCCUGCCCAGAGAC
rnacentral:rRNA from 1 species